rnacentral:Y_RNA from 1 species
GGCUGGUCCAACAGUAGUGGAUUAUCAUAACUUACUAACGUCAGUGUCACUAAAGUUGGUAUACAACGUCCCACUGCUACAUUUGACUAGCUUAAU